UCAAGAAAAAAAAAAAGAAGCUACUCGUCUCUCUCACGCUCUGUCGCCAUUUACCCGUCUAUACUCUCUCUAGUCGUCUCUGAAUCUCUGGCUGCCAUUGCUAUCUCCAUUGUCUUCAUUGUCGUUGGCUCUACUUUCUAAUCUCUCGGCCUUCAUUUUGCUCCCCCUCAUUCGAGUCUCUACUCACCUGUUCAUCUCUCACUCUCCUUACGCCAAUGCCGUCUCUGGCUUUUAGCCACUCUUUGGCCCACGAAAACCACCAAAGCUUGCUUCUUCUGCCUCUCAAAUCUUCAAUGGUUAGCUUCAGUCAAGUCAAUAGCACAAGCAAUGGGUAGGUCACGUCACGAACUCAGAUUGGAGAAGAAACCAACCAUUGGAGGCUUGGAGCUCAUUUAAGAGCUUUGCGACGGAUAAAAUAGCGCUUUGUGGCUUAAAAAAAAGGAGCUUGUUGGUAGUUGCCUACAGUGAAAUCAAUAUUUUAUAGCUUCAUUGCAAAUUUAUUGAAAUAUUUUUUUUUUUUUUUCCUUUCUGGAAUCUGAGUUGUUACUAUCAUGCCUGGACUAAGCAUGAAAGCUUGAGUUUUUAUUCGAGUACUCGAACUUGACAAGGUUGGAGAAUUGUACCAAGCUUUAUUGAAUCGAGCUCGAACUUAUGUGUUAUCUCUACAAGUGGAGUCGAGCUGCAAGUUAUUUUGCUCGAUCAA